AUACUAAAGUAGUAAUAGUUAUGUUCUUGAAACUUAAAAAAUUUGGCGGUAUUUUAGUCUAUCCAGAGGAACCUGUUUUAUAAUCGAUAAUCCACGAUGGACCUUACUUAAGUUUGUAAUCAGUUUAUAUACCGUCGUUAUCAGAAUAUUUUAUAAGAAUAAUAAUAUUCAAUAAUUUCAAUAAAAAUUUAUAUCAGAUCAAGGUGUAGCUUAUAUUUAAGUAAUAAUGGGUUACAAUAAAAAUAUUUAUACGAAUAAAAUUAUGAAAAAAUUUUUGAAGGUGGAUUUGGUAGUAAAAUUAUAUAGAUAAAUAAUUUGAUUUUAGCUCUAAAAUAUGUACACAUCGCCCGUCGCUCUUAUUAUUAAGGUAAGAUAAGUCGUAACAUAGUAGAUGUACUGGAAAGUGUAUCUAGAAUGA
rnacentral:rRNA from 1 species